UGGGGAAUUGUUCGCAAUGGGCGCAAGCCUGACGACGCAACGCCGCGUGAGUGAUGAAGGCCUUCGGGUCGUAAAGCUCUGUCGGAGGGAACGAAUGCUCCUGAAGUUAACAGCCUCAGGAGGUGACGGUACCCUCAAAGGAAGCACCGGCUAACUCUGUGCCAGCAGCCGCGGUAAUACAGAGGGUGCAAGCGUUGUUCGGAAUCAUUGGGCGUAAAGGGCGUGUAGGCGGUAUGUUAAGUCAUGUGUGAAAUCCCUCGGCUCAACCGGGGAACGACGCAUGAAACUGGCAAGCUAGAGUACCAAAGAGGGUGGUGGAAUUCCUAGUGUAGCGGUGAAAUGCGUAGAUAUCUGGAGGAACACCGGUGGCGAAGGCGGCAUCCUGGACCGGUAUUGACGCUGAGUGAGCGAAAGCCAGGGGAGCAAACGGGAUUAGAUACCCCAGUAGUCCCUGAGCGGGCUGGCAAGGCGCAU
rnacentral:rRNA from 1 species